AUUGAACGCUAGCGGGAUGCCUUACACAUGCAAGUCGAACGGAGUGGCGAACGGGUGCGUAAGGUAUCGGACCGUGCCCAGUAGCGGGGGCUACCUUCGCGAAAACGUAGCUAAUACCGCAUACUAUUGUAUCGGCCUAUGUCGGAUCAGCUCGUUGGUGGGGUAACGGCUUACCAAGGCGACGAUCCGUAGCUGGUUUGAGUGGACGAACAGCCACACUGGGACUGAGACACGGCCCAGACUCCUACGGGAGGCAGCAGUGGGGAAUUUUGGACAAUGGGGGAAACCCUGAUCCAGCCAUCCCGCGUGUGCGAUGAAGGCCUUCGGAUUGUAAAGCACUUUUGGCAGGGAAGCGGUACCUGCAGAAUAAGCACCGGCUAACUACGUGCCAGCAGCCGCGGUAAUAC
rnacentral:rRNA from 1 species